rnacentral:ribozyme from 1 species
AGCAAAGAAUGAGAGAGAGAAACAAAAAACAAAAGGAAAACAAGCUUUCUUUUUCUUCAUUUAAAGGAAACCAAAUGGCAUGGCGCUUUUGUGUGAUAUGAAUAUCUGGAAUUUUUCUCUUUUUUUACCACCGCUCUACCGAGUCCUCUUUCUCUCUC